UACGUAGGGUGCGAGCGUUGUCCGGAAUUAUUGGGCGUAAAGAGCUCGUAGGCGGUGUGUCACGUCGGCCGUGAAAACCUGCAGCUUAACUGUGGGCGUGCGGUCGAUACGGGCAUCACUGGAGUUCGGUAGGGGAGACUGGAAUUCCUGGUGUAGCGGUGGAAUGCGCAGAUAUCAGGAGGAACACCCAUAGCGAAGGCAGCUCGCUGGGACGGUACUGACGCUAAGGCGCGAAAGCGUGGGGAGCGAACAGG
rnacentral:rRNA from 1 species